CACGUAGGGUCCGAGCGUUGUCCGGAUUUAUUGGGCGUAAAGGGCCUGUAGGCGGCUUGAUAAGUCGGGUGUGAAAACUCCGGGCUCAACCCGGAGACGCCACCCGAUACUGUUAUGGCUUGAGUCUGGUAGGGGAGUGCGGAAUUCCUGGUGUAGCGGUGAAAUGCAUAGAUAUCAGGAGGAACACCGGUGGCGAAGGCGGCACUCUGGGCCAGUACUGACGCUGAGAGGCGAAAGCGUGGGUAGCAAACAGG
rnacentral:rRNA from 1 species